AUAGAGAGUCGUACCUGCCCGGUGAUGUGUUUUAACGGCCGCGGUACUCUGACCGUGCAAAGGUAGCAUAAUCAUUUGCCUUAUAAUUGAAGGCUAGUAUGAAUGGUUUGACAAGAGUACAACUGUCUCAUUUGUUAUUUUUUAAAAUUUUACUUUUAGGUGAAAAGGCCUAAAUUAAAUUAAUAGACAAGAAGACCCUAUCGAGCUUUAAAAAAAUUAAUAGAAUUUGUUUUUAUAAUAUUAAAAAAUUAACUAUUAAAAAUUUUAGUUGGGGCGACAAAGGAACAAAUAAAACUUCCUUUAUUUCAAUUAGGACUUAUAAGUAGAGAUCCAAGGGUUUUGAUUAAAAGAAAUAGUUACCGUAGGGAUAACAGCAUUAUCUUCUUUAAGAGUUCGUAUCGAAAAGAAGGUUUGUGACCUCGAUGUUGGACCAGAAUUUCCUAAAGAUGCAGAAGUCUUUAAGGGUUGGUCUGUUCGACCAUUAAAAUUCU
rnacentral:rRNA from 1 species